rnacentral:rRNA from 1 species
GACGAAGGGUGCUAGCGUUGUUCGGAAUGACUGGGCGUAAAGGGCGCGUAGGCGGUCUUUUAAGUUAGGCGUGAAAGCCCUGGGCUUAACCCAGGACGUGCGCUUAAGACUGAAAGACUUGAGUUUGGAAGAGGUAAGUGGAAUUCCUAGUGUAGAGGUGAAAUUCGUAGAUAUUAGGAAGAACACCAGUGGCGAAGGCGGCUUACUGGUCCAAUACUGACGCUGAGGCGCGAAAGUGUGGGGAGCAAACAGG